rnacentral:rRNA from 1 species
UACGGGGGGUGCAAGCGUUGUUCGGAAUUAUUGGGCGUAAAGCGCGCGCAGGCGGCCUGAAAAGUCUAUGGGUGAAAUGCCGGGGCUCAACCCCGUGCGUGCCCAGGAUACUGUCAGGCUGGAGACACGUAGAGGCAAGCGGAAUUCCGGGUGUAGCGGUGGAAUGCGUAGAGAUCCGGAAGAACACCGGAGGCGAAGGCGGCUUGCUGGGCGUGAUCUGACGCUGAGGCGCGAAAGCGUGGGGAGCGAACAGG